rnacentral:tRNA from 1 species
AACAAGAUAGUUUAAUAAAAAAUAUCGGGUUUGCGUCUCGGAGAUGGAUCAAUUCUUUUGUUA